rnacentral:rRNA from 1 species
AUUGAACGCUGGCGGCAGGCCUAACACAUGCAAGUCGAACGAGUGGCGGACGGGUGAGUAAUGUCUGGGAAACUGCCCGAUGGAGGGGGAUAACUACUGGAAACGGUAUCUAAUACCGCAUACCAUCGGAUGUGCCCCGAUGGGAUUAGCUAGUAGGUGGGGUAACGGCUCACCUGGGCGACGAUCCCGAGCUGGUCUGAGAGGAUGACCAGCCACACUGGAACUGAGACACGGUCCAGACUCCUACGGGAGGCAGCAGUGGGGAAGAUUGCACAAUGGGCGCAAGCCUGAUGCAGCCAGGCCGCGUGUAUGAAGAAGGCCGUCGGGUUGUAAAGGACUGUCAGCGAGGAGGCGUUACUCGCAGAAGAAGCACCGGCUAACUCCGUGCCAGCAGCCGCGGUAAUAG